GACGUAGGGCGCGAGCGUUGUCCGGAUUUAUUGGGCGUAAAGCGCUCGCAGGUGGUUCAUUGCGUCGUGCGUGAAAGACCCCGGCUCAACUGGGGAGUGUCGUGCGAAACGGGUGAACUAGAGGCCAGUAGGGGGAUGCGGAAUUCCGGGUGUAGUGGUGGAAUGCGUAGAGAUCCGGAGGAACACCAGCGGCGAAGGCGGCAUCCUGGACUGGUCCUGACACUCAGGAGCGAAAGCGUGGGGAGCGAGUCCGG
rnacentral:rRNA from 1 species